rnacentral:misc_RNA from 1 species
GGGCGUGUGAGUGGUGUUUGGAAUGUUGGGAUGGUAGGCUCCGUGCUUUUGCAUCGAACUGCUAGCCCGCAAUCCUUUUCAAGUCUCGAGCAUUGCUUUUAUGCUCGUGUUUUUGNNNGUGUUCCUGUAUUUGAUACCCAUGUUGGCGGAACUAGGCUUCUGUUCUCCCCCCACUCGGUGCCUCUUACGGGCACGGGUGGACCACACAGCUCUGGCCCAUUAUUCCUAGCAAGCUCUUCGGGCUGCAACGGUUGUUGGAUCAAAGCUCGUGUUCUCGGAUGCAGAAUACNCGAUGGGUCCAGGGAUUGAAUCCUUGCAUUCGCCCCGUGUGGGAAANCGUCCCUCGAUAGGAACGACAUCCGCUGCGCGCCGCGAUCCGUCCGUCCUCUCGGGCCCAGGACGCUUCGCGCGUGCACCGGUGUCCCCGAAGGAAUGCUACCUGGUUGAUCCUGCCAGUAGUCAUAUGCUUGUCUCAAAGAUUAAGCCAUGCAUG